GGUUGUUGUACAGGUUCUAUUUGUUGUUGGUGUAAUUGACGAAUUUCCAGAUGUCGUUGAGGUAAAUUGUUGUUUUGUAAAUUUUUCAGACAAUUAAUAACUUGUAGAAUAGUUUCCAAUCUUCUUCUUAAAUUUUGAUUUCCUCUUAAAAACACUUCCGAAACAGCUAUAAUUGUGACAAUUAUAUAUAUAAACCAAUCUACAAAGAAGAAAACAAGUCAUCUGAACUAACACUUUCAGAACUACAUGUAUGAGAAGCAUUAAAUAUAAAUUGUUGUUGAAUGUCUUGUGGUGGAUUUUCAAGUCUUUCAAGAUACAGUUCAUAAGAUUCUGGUGUGUAUCUCAAUUCAAAAUCUGGACUAUUUGUAGGUUGUUGACGUUCUUUUUUUUAAUAUUCUUCUACGGAUGAAAUAUACACCGAAACCAAUAACAGAGCAUACUAAGGACACUGAAAUCAAACAAAUUAUAUCACUC
rnacentral:lncRNA from 1 species